rnacentral:piRNA from 1 species
AGGUGUGAGAUUUGGGGAGCAUCUCUCAGC